AUUCGUUUCUUGAAGAAUCGAGAGUUCCAAGUGUACACCAACGAUCCUCGAAAUGUCUUCACUCGAUCUGGAAACCUUUAUUUAAAGCCAACGAUAUCAACGGAUGAUCCAAGAUUUAAUGAGAAUACACUUCGCUGGGGUGUCAUGGAUGUUGC
rnacentral:sRNA from 1 species